AGCAAAACGUGUUGAAAAUGCCCGCUUCGUCGCGGAUUGAAAAUCCGCGUGUCACUGGUUCGAUUCCGGUCCUGGGCACCA
rnacentral:tRNA from 1 species